AACGAACGCUGGCGGCAGGCUUAACACAUGCAAGUCGAACGCCCCGCAAGGGGAGCGGCAGACGGGUGAGUAACGCGUGGGAAUCUACCCAUCUCUACGGAAUAACGCAUGGAAACGUGUGCUAAUACCGUAUACGUCCUUCGGGAGAAAGAUUUAUCGGAGAUGGAUGAGCCCGCGUUGGAUUAGCUAGUUGGUGGGGUAAAGGCCUACCAAGGCGACGAUCCAUAGCUGGUCUGAGAGGAUGAUCAGCCACACUGGGACUGAGACACGGCCCAGACUCCUGCGGGAGGGAGCGGUGGGGAAUAUUGGACAAUGGCCGCAAGCCUGAUCCAGCCCUGCCGCGUGAGUGAUGAAGGCCCUAGGGUAGUAAAGCUCUUUCACCGGUGAAGAUAAUGACGGUAACCGGAGAAGAAGCCCCGGCUAACUUCGUGCCAGCCGCCGCCGUAAAAC
rnacentral:rRNA from 1 species